AGAGCGAACGCUGGCGGCAGGCCUAACACAUGCAAGUCGAACGGACCCUUCGGGGUUAGUGGCGGACGGGUGAGUAACACGUGGGAACGUGCCUUUAGGUUCGGAAUAGCUCCUGGAAACGGGUGGUAAUGCCGAAUGUGCCCUUCGGGGGAAAGAUUUAUCGCCUUUAGAGCGGCCCGCGUCUGAUUAGCUUGUUGGUGAGGUAAUGGCUCACCAAGGCUACGAUCAGUAGCUGGUCUGAGAGGAUGACCAGCCACAUUGGGACUGAGACACGGCCCAAACUCCUACGGGAGGCAGCAGUGGGGAAUCUUGCGCAAUGGGCGAAAGCCUGACGCAGCCAUGCCGCGUGUAUGAUGAAGGUCUUAGGAUUGUAAAAUACUUUCAACCGGUGAAGAUAAUGACUGUAGCCGGAAGAAGAACGCCCGGACUAACUUCGUGCCAGCAGCCGC
rnacentral:rRNA from 1 species